GGGAAAGGUGGCGGUGUACACCUUUGAUCCCAGAACUUGGGAGGCAGAGGCAAGCAGAUCUCUGUGAGUUCAAGGCCAGCCUAGUCCACAGAGUGAGUUCCAGGCCAGCCAGGGCUACACAAAGAAACCCUGUCCCAAAACAACAACCUGGGAAGUCAUAGCAGUGGCUGGUGUGUAGUCUCUAAGAGAGGAGGGUUCCACCAACUCACCGCACAGCGUGGACAUCAGGCUUGGGAAAGCUCCCACUGCAAGAACACCGGCAAGGGCUAGGAUGCAUGGACGUUUUGGGGAAACAUCCCAACUCACAGUCACACUUGGAGGAGAAGAGGAUGAGUGCCCACA
rnacentral:lncRNA from 1 species